rnacentral:misc_RNA from 1 species
GUUGGUGAACCAGCGGAGGGAUCAUUACAAGAGAGAGGCCGAAAGGCUAAUUAAAACCAUUGCGAACCUAUCCAAGUUGCUUCGGCGGCGCGGGGCCCUUCACCGGGCGCCGCUGCCCCCGGCCUCUCCGGAGGUGUGGGGCGCCCGCCGGGGGUACGAAACUCUCCUGUAUUAUAGUGGCAUCUCUGAUUUAAAACACAAAUAAGUUAAAACUUUCAACAACGGAUCUCUUGGCUCUG